CAAUAUAUCACAGUGAUCAACGACAUCGACCCUAGCAAUCCUAAUGGUAUGUCUCUUGAUGGAUUUCUUGUUUCCUCUGCCAUGGUUGCAAUGGUGUCAAAUCCUCCAUAGGCAAAGUACACAAUUGCUGCCGCUUGGAAGACCCCUUGGGCACCAUGAGGCAAAUAAGGUUUCAUAUUGGAUGCAUUGCCAUGAGCAAAUCCUGCAAUUAUCACAAAUAAAAUCACCAAAGUAUUUACUGCUGAUGCAAUCCAAUUUAUGCAGGAAGCUCUCCUUGCACUGGCCAUUGCAAUUGUUGAUGCAAUUGCGAGAACUCCAACAGCAAUCGGAUCCAAAAGGUUAUAUCCAUCAUUGAGACU
rnacentral:lncRNA from 1 species